rnacentral:lncRNA from 1 species
GCAUGCUUGUUUCGUUUUGGUAUCUGAAAGAUGGUGGAAGUACUUUGACAGAGCAUUUGUUGUCUUGAUGUGGAUCGUUAUUAUUGAGGAGAAACUAUAAACAAAAGAAAAAGAAACCAAUGUAAAUGAUUCUGUGAACAAACUGACACUUGUAGAACUGUUGCUUUUGAGGGAUUAAUGAGAUCACGAAAAAGGAAGUCACUUACUGUAAACAUCCAACCUGGCAGUGCAAGACACAAUCCCGGCCUCAUUCUUAGCUGAAACGGUGUACCAACCAGCAUCCUCUUUUGUAGCUCCCUGAAUAAGCAGGCAGAUGUAGCCAUAGUUGUCCUGGUGCAUGCUCACUCUGUCAGUAUUGUGUGUGAUUGACUCGUUCUCUUUCUUCCAAAAUAUCUGAGGUGAUGGUUCCCCCGAGAUUCGACACUCCAGUCGCACUGGAAAUCCCUCAGUCACACCUGUGUUCUGUAGUUUCUCUAUAAACACAGGUGCUUUGUGUACUUCCUUAGCUGCAACAAUGAGCUCCAGGCUGAAUGUAUUUUCUCCAGCUCGAUUGCUGGCGACACACGUGUAGAUUCCCGCAUCCCUCGCGGUGACCGGUUCUAUGAUCAGGGAGUGCACCCCGUUCUCACGCACCAGCAUUUUGUGAGAGCUGUCAGGACGAAUGGGUCUUCCAUUUAGUUGCCAGCUUAGAUCAGGUGUUGGUAAUCCACUAACCUUGCAGUCCA